rnacentral:rRNA from 1 species
AUUGAACGCUGGCGGCAGGCCUAACACAUGCAAGUCGAGCGGAUGAGAGGAGCUUGCUCCUUGAUUUAGCGGCGGACGGGUGAGUAAUGCCUAGGAAUCUGCCUGGUAGUGGGGGAUAACGUUCCGAAAGGAACGCUAAUACCGCAUACGUCGUACGGGAGAAAGCAGGGGACCUUCGGGCCCUGCGCUAUCAGAUGAGCCUAGGUCGGAUUAGCUAGUAGGUGGGGUAAUGGCUCACCUAGGAAACGAUCCGUAACUGGUCUGAGAGGAUGAUCAGUCACACUGGAACUGAGACACGGUCCAGACUCCUACGGGAGGCAGCAGUGGGGAAUAUUGGACAAUGGGCGAAAGCCUGAUCCAGCCAUGCCGCGUGUGUGAAGAAGGUCUUCGGAUUGUAAAGCACUUUAAGUUGGGAGGAAGGGCAGUAAGCUAAUACCUUGCUGUUUUGACGUUACCGACAGAAUAAGCACCGGCUAACUCUGUGCCAGCCGCCGCCGUAAUAC